rnacentral:rRNA from 1 species
ACGAACGCUGGCGGCGUGCCUAAUACAUGCAAGUCGAACGCUUCUUUUUCCAUCGGAGCUUGCUCCACCGGAAAAAGAGGAGUGGCGAACGGGUGAGUAACACGUGGGUAACCUGCCCAUCAGAAGGGGAUAACACUUGGAAACAGGUGCUAAUACCGUAUAACAAUCGAAACCGCAUGGUUUUGAUUUGAAAGGCGCUUUCGGGUGUCGCUGAUGGAUGGACCCGCGGUGCAUUAGCUAGUUGGUGAGGUAACGGCUCACCAAGGCGACGAUGCAUAGCCGACCUGAGAGGGUGAUCGGCCACAUUGGGACUGAGACACGGCCCAAACUCCUACGGGAGGCAGCAGUAGGGAAUCUUCGGCAAUGGACGAAAGUCUGACCGAGCAACGCCGCGUGAGUGAAGAAGGUUUUCGGAUCGUAAAACUCUGUUGUUAGAGAAGAACAAGGAUGAGAGUAACUGUUCAUCCCUUGACGGUAUCUAACCAGAAAGCCACGGCUAACUACGUGCCAGCAGCCGCGGUAAUACGUAGGUGGCAAGCGUUGUCCGGAUUUAUUGGGCGUAAAGCGAGCGCAGGCGGUUUCUUAAGUCUGAUGUGAAAGCCCCCGGCUCAACCGGGGAGGGUCAUUGGAAACUGGGAGACUUGAGUGCAGAAGAGGAGAGUGGAAUUCCAUGUGUAGCGGUGAAAUGCGUAGAUAUAUGGAGGAACACCAGUGGCGAAGGCGGCUCUCUGGUCUGUAACUGACGCUGAGGCUCGAAAGCGUGGGGAGCAAACAGGAUUAGAUACCCUGGUAGUCCACGCCGUAAACGAUGAGUGCUAAGUGUUGGAGGGUUUCCGCCCUUCAGUGCUGCAGCUAACGCAUUAAGCACUCCGCCUGGGGAGUACGACCGCAAGGUUGAAACUCAAAGGAAUUGACGGGGGCCCGCACAAGCAGUGGAGUAUGUGGUUUAAUUCGAAGCAACGCGAAGAACCUUACCAGGUCUUGACAUCCUUUGACCACUCUAGAGAUAGAGCUUCCCCUUCGGGGGCAAAGUGACAGGUGGUGCAUGGUUGUCGUCAGCUCGUGUCGUGAGAUGUUGGGUUAAGUCCCGCAACGAGCGCAACCCUUAUUGUUAGUUGCCAUCAUUUAGUUGGGCACUCUAGCAAGACUGCCGGUGACAAACCGGAGGAAGGUGGGGAUGACGUCAAAUCAUCAUGCCCCUUAUGACCUGGGCUACACACGUGCUACAAUGGGAAGUACAACGAGUCGCAAAGUCGCGAGGCUAAGCUAAUCUCUUAAAGCUUCUCUCAGUUCGGAUUGUAGGCUGCAACUCGCCUACAUGAAGCCGGAAUCGCUAGUAAUCGCGGAUCAGCACGCCGCGGUGAAUACGUUCCCGGGCCUUGUACACACCGCCCGUCACACCACGAGAGUUUGUAACACCCGAAGUCGGUGAGGUAACCUUUUGGAGCCAGCCGCCUAAGGUGGGAUAGAUGAUUGGGGUG